GUUGAGGGCGACUGGUCCAUACCACGUAUGCGCAUCUGGCUCGGCCUCGGCAUCCUCUCGAAAUGAUUUUCUGCGCUUGAUUGCGUGGAUUUUUGUUCGGGACUUUUACUUUGAGGAAAUUAGAGUGUUCCACGGCAGGCUAUCGCCAGAAUACAUUAGCAUGGAAUAAUACUAUAGGAUCUCGGUUCUAUUUUG
rnacentral:rRNA from 1 species